AGUGUAGCGGUGAAAUGCGUAGAUAUUAGGAGGAACACCAGUUGCGAAGGCGGUCUCUGGACUGUAACUGACACUGAGGCACGAAAGCGUGGGGAGCAAACAGGAUUAGAUACCUGGUAGUCACGCCGUAAACGAUGAGUACUAGCUGUCGGAGGUUACCCCCUUCGGUGGCGAGCUAACGCAUUAAGUACUCCGCCUGGGAAGUACGCUCGCAAGAGUGAAACUCAAAGGAAUGACGGGGACCCGCACAAGUAGCGGAGCAUGUGGUUUAAUUCGAAGCAACGCGAAGAACCUACCUAAGCUUGACAUCCCAAUGAUCUCUCCCUAAUCGGAGAUUUCCCUUCGGGGACAUUGUGACAGGUGGUGCAUGGUUGUCGUCAGCUCGUGUCGUGAGAUGUUGGGUUAAGUCCCGCACGAGCGCAACCCUUGCCUUUAGUUGCCAGCAUUAAGUUGGGCACUCUAGAGGGACUGCCGGGAUAACCUGGAGGAAGGUGGGGAUGACGUCAAAUCAUCAUGCCCCUUAUGCUUAGGGCACACACGUGCUACAAUGGGUGGUACAGAGGGCAGCCAAGUCGUGAGGCGGAGCUAAUCCCUAAAGCCAUUCUCAGUUCGGAUUGUAGGCUGAAACUCGCCUACAUGAAGCUGGAGUUACUGUAAUCGCAGAUCAGAAUGCUGCGGUGAAUGCGUUCCCGGGUCUUGCACACACCGCCCGU
rnacentral:rRNA from 1 species